UAUCGUUGGAUUAAAAAGUUU
ensembl:piRNA 21ur-626 ncRNA